rnacentral:misc_RNA from 1 species
AGCGUCUCAAAAACGAGCGAAAUAUAUCAUUCAUAGUGCCUUGGAAGGUGGCAAGGGCAUUGGUUAACCUGAAUAGCAUAACGAGGAACUCGUAGUGGCCAGAAUGCCUCUGAAAAGCCGUUUUGGGAAUGUCCUCAGUCUUGACCCGAAUUUGAUGGUAGCCCGAACACAGGUCAAUUUUGAAAAAAUAAGUUGCCCCAUGUAAUUCAUCAAGCAACUCCUAAAUCACCAGAAUAGGGUACUUAUUAGGAACCGUGGCUUUGUUCAAUUUGCGAUAGUCUACAUAAAACCUCCAACUCCUAUCUUUUUUCCGAACAAGUAAGACCGGACUAGAAAACGGGCUAGUGCUGGGGCGUAUAAUACCGGCUGCCAACAUUUCUGAAACCAAUCGUUCUAUCUCAUCCUUCUGAUAGUGGCCAUAACGUUAAGGUUUGACUAAAAUUGGACCAACCCCAGCUUGUAAUGGAAUACCAUGGUCAGUUACCCGAGAAGGUGGUAAAGUACUGAAUUCAGUAAACACAAAAGAAUACCUGGCCAAUAAUGCAUUAAGUUGAUCAGUUUGAGAAGAGGAGAGAGACCGAAAAAAUUCCUCAAAUGUAGGCAUCAAAGAAGAGCAAUUCAAAAGCAAAAUACCAUAUUCAACAUCUGCCAUUUUAAUAAGAGACGGAUCCCUAGUGAGAGUAAUUUCGCAUCCUCCUUGUGAAAAUUUCAUAGACAUUUUCUG